rnacentral:rRNA from 1 species
GACGAACGUUGGCGGCGCGCUUAAUGCAUGCAAGUCGAACGAGAACCAGUGAGUUCGUAAGAACCCGCUGGGGACAGUGGCGAACGGGUGCGUAACACGUGAGAAACCUGCCCUGGAGACCGGGAUAGCGCGGGGAAACCCGCAUUAAUACCGGAUACCUUCACCGGACCGCAUGGUCUGAUGAAGAAAUGGUCCGCCGCUCCAGGAUGGUCUCGCGGCCUAUCAGCUUGUUGGUGAGGUAACGGCUCACCAAGGCAGCGACGGGUAGCUGGUCUGAGAGGACGAUCAGCCACACUGGGACUGAGACACGGCCCAGACUCCUACGGGAGGCAGCAGCAGGGAAUAUUGCACAAUGGGCGAAAGCCUGAUGCAGCGACGCCGCGUGCGGGAUGAAGGCCUUCGGGUUGUAAACCGCUUUCAGGAGGGAAGAAAAUGACGGUACCUCCAGAAGAAGGCCCGGCCAACUACG